rnacentral:rRNA from 1 species
CUGGCGGCGUGCUUAACACAUGCAAGUCGAACGAUGAUCCCAGCUUGCUGGGGGAUUAGUGGCGAACGGGUGAGUAACACGUGAGUAACCUGCCCUUGACUCUGGGAUAAGCCUGGGAAACUGGGUCUAAUACCGGAUAUGACCGCUCUGACGCAUGUCAGGUGGUGGAAAGCUUUUGUGGUUUUGGAUGGACUCGCGGCCUAUCAGCUUGUUGGUGGGGUAAUGGCCUACCAAGGCGACGACGGGUAGCCGGCCUGAGAGGGUGACCGGCCACACUGGGACUGAGACACGGCCCAGACUCCUACGGGAGGCAGCAGUGGGGAAUAUUGCACAAUGGGCGCAAGCCUGAUGCAGCGACGCCGCGUGAGGGAUGACGGCCUUCGGGUUGUAAACCUCUUUCAGUAGGGAAGAAGCGAAAGUGACGGUACCUGCAGAAGAAGCGCCGGCUAACUACGUGCCAGCAGCCGCGGUAAUACGUAGGGCGCAAGCGUUAUCCGGAAUUAUUGGGCGUAAAGAGCUCGUAGGCGGUUUGUCGCGUCUGCUGUGAAAGACCGGGGCUCAACUCCGGUUCUGCAGUGGGUACGGGCAGACUAGAGUGAUGUAGGGGAGACUGGAAUUCCUGGUGUAGCGGUGAAAUGCGCAGAUAUCAGGAGGAACACCGAUGGCGAAGGCAGGUCUCUGGGCAUUAACUGACGCUGAGGAGCGAAAGCAUGGGGAGCGAACAGGAUUAGAUACCCUGGUAGUCCAUGCCGUAAACGUUGGGCACUAGGUGUGGGGGACAUUCCACGUUUUCCGCGCCGUAGCUAACGCAUUAAGUGCCCCGCCUGGGGAGUACGGCCGCAAGGCUAAAACUCAAAGGAAUUGACGGGGGCCCGCACAAGCGGCGGAGCAUGCGGAUUAAUUCGAUGCAACGCGAAGAACCUUACCAAGGCUUGACAUGAACCG